GCAACACAGAAAAUAAGAUUUCUGCCAAGAGCCACACCACCCUGAUCAUGCCGCAUCUCAGCAGAUCUCAGAAGCUCAGCGGGGUCUGGCCAGGCUUGUGCUGCUUUGACAGUGACUCUGUGUAUAGCCUGGACCAGAUGAAGCCCAGUUUCUAUUUGGGUUACACACACACAGGUGCAUGCACACACACUAUAGAAGUGUAUCUCAGAAAUGUACUCUUAAGGGGACAACGGAAAUGAUUCAUUGCACCAUGGAAAUGUAUUCAUUCAUCUGUUAAGCAGCCGUGUCUAUCUCACCGAUGGAUUAAGGUCCAGUUUUAUUCUGUAUGCUGACUCCUUCAUUCCCUCCUCCUUGGCAAAGCAUUUUACUUCAGCUAGCUUCAAAGGGUGUCACACCCAGGCUAAAGAACCAGCCCCAAAGUGCAUCCAGCCAUAUCAAAUUAAAGCUGCUUACCGUGUCAGCUCUGGCUGAACCCAGUGCAGAAGCAUUGCUGAACUUCCUGGAACUUGUGGACGGAACAUCUGCCAAGACAGCUGGAAGCUGAAGUACCAAGAAAAUUAAAACCCAGUGACAAGAUGGAUGAAGAUCCCUUGCUCCCAUGUUGUGCCUAAUUACCCAGAGGAAAAGCCAACAAUGGGUACUGUAAAUUGUCCUUGGAAAACAAUCCUGGGAGUGGUUCUGCCCUUCUCUGUCCCCAGCCAAGCCUCCCCACCCACCCCACUCCCAGGCUGGCUCCACCAGCCCCCUUCUAAGGAACCCUUCAAGUGGGCUCCAUCCUGCUCCACACCCCCGGGCGCCACUUCCUCUGCAUUUCCUCUCCCUAAAGGAGGCCUCACCCCCUUCCUGUUUUCCAGGUCACUAGUGACUUCAACUCAGGGAAGGGAAAUGUUAUCUUGAGCCCUUUCCUUUGUCUUCACCUUCACUAUUUGGCUUAGCUGUAGGUCUAAGGAUACAUGAGGGGAAGAACUGCUUUGGGUGCUUCCAAAUGGGGUACAAGGAACCAGUGACUGACUCUGGUGCUUGUUGUUGGGCGGUUCCACCAGGUGCUGGGACCCUUGUCUUCAAAUCCAGCUUGUACAGGUGGCAAGGGGCAGAAAUGAUGUCCUAGGGCAAAGCAGCAGAAUAAAAAUCACUUGCAAACACAGGCUUUGGUCACUUGU